rnacentral:rRNA from 1 species
UACAGAGGUCUCAACCGUUGUUCGGAUUCAUUGGGCGUAAAGGGGGCGUAGGCGGUCGGGUAAGUCGGAUGUGAAAUCUCAGGGCUCAACCCUGAAACUGCAUUCGAUACUGCCUGGCUAGGGUACUGGAGAGGAGACUGGAAUUUACGGUGUAGCAGUGAAAUGCGUAGAUAUCGUAAGGAAGACCAGUGGCGAAGGCGAGUCUCUGGACAGUUACCGACGCUGAGGCACGAAGGCCAGGGGAGCAAACGGG